rnacentral:tRNA from 1 species
CCCCUGGCAGUCUAAUGGUUAGGACUCUGUGCUUCCACUGCAGGGGGCACAGGUUCGAUCCCUGCUCAGAGAA